AUUUCCCUUCACUGUAGCUGAAUAAGGAUAAGGAGGAAAGUGUGAAGAAUUUUUAAGCUUGAGCAGAUUGGGUUUCAAGCAGACAACGGCUCUAUUUUGGAGACAGCGGUGCCCAGCUGGUUGAAGGUGUGUGCAGGAAGCAGAUGCAGCGGGGCUGCUCAGGACCCGGUGCUGCAGAACAGGCUGCUGCUGCCUCCUGAUCCAGGCCAGGGUGAGGAAAGGUCGGGGAGGAUCUGGUUGUUCCCAGUGUCUGUCAAAAAUACUGUGCAGUCUUUCACAUCUGAAAGACCACGGCUGGCUGCCAUUAAUUUUAAUGCUAAAUCCUCAUCAGCAUUUCAAAACAUUAUGAAAAUGUCGAAGAAACUGUCUUCUAGUAGCUUGAAAAUAUCGCAGGCAGCAACCUAAAUAAUACUUUAAGUGCCCUGGUAAGUACAAGAGCACACGCUGGAAAGGAAAAGAGGAAAAGAAAAGGCUUUAGACCACCACGCAAACAUCACUUCUACAAAGCAGGCGUAAAUGGAUUGCAGGAUUUCAUGGAUGCUGAGAGUUUGAAUUACUGACUGAGCUGCACCUCUCUUAGAGAGAACA
rnacentral:lncRNA from 1 species